GAUGAACGCUAGCGACAGGCUUAACACAUGCAAGUCGAGGGGCAGCAUAAAAAUCAGCUUGCUGAUUUUGGUGGCGACCGGCGCACGGGUGAGUAACGCGUAUGCAACCUACCUAUCAGAGGGGGAUAGCCCAUUGAAAGAUGGAUUAAUACCGCAUAAAACAGGGGUCCCGCAUGGGGCUAUUUGUUAAAGAUUUAUUGCUGAUAGAUGGGCAUGCGUUCCAUUAGUUAGUUGGUAAGGUAACGGCUUACCAAGACAUCGAUGGAUAGGGGUUCUGAGAGGAAGGUCCCCCACACUGGUACUGAGACACGGACCAGACUCCUACGGGAGGCAGCAGUGAGGAAUAUUGGUCAAUGGGCGAGAGCCUGAACCAGCCAAGUCGCGUGAAGGAUGACUGCCCUAUGGGUUGUAAACUUCUUUUAUUGGGGAAUAAAAAGGGCCACGUGUGGCUUAUUGCAUGUACCUAAUGAAUAAGCAUCGGCUAACUCCGUGCCAGCCGCCGCCGUAAAAC
rnacentral:rRNA from 1 species